rnacentral:lncRNA from 1 species
GACCUCUGGAGGUCAUCUGGUACAACCCCUCUGCCCAAGCAGGGCCGUCUAGAGCAGUUGCCCAUGUGGACAUAGGCUGUACGGUUCUGCCUGUUCUUGGCAACUAUUGUGUUAAUUUGUCAUUUUAAGUUCAGCUUUGGCUGACUGCCUGGUGCCUCAGGACUGAUGUGAAUGACCCUCGCCACAUGAUGCAGAAUCCUCAAAACAUGAGUCAAAGGGUUGGACAGACAGCAACCACUGCUCUCUGCAAGCUGGAUGCAACCAGACUGCACCAUACAGCAU